UGAACAUUCCAGGCUCUGUGAACUAAGUGACUGAAGCUGAUUGACACAGGUCAAGGGGACUUCAAGGAAGAAAGCCAGCCUUAGACUGACAUCAGAGAACCAAACUCCGGUGUCUAAGCUCAAGAGGUUAGAAUCCUGAGAACUGUUUGGAAUAAGGAAUCCAAAUAUUGUCUUCCAGCUUCACCUUGUCACGACAGUCCUCGCCAGGGACAGCUGAGCAUCUACAUCUCCAUUUAUGCCGUGUGCACGCAGUACCAACAGAGGUCAGAGGAGGGUGUCGGAUCCCCUGGAACUGGAGUCACAGAUUCUUCCUUGCGUGGAUGAAACAGUCCCAACGAACACUUUAAAAAGACAAAUGUUCCCGACAGCACUGGUUGAAUUCAAAACUCGGCAGAUCCAUGUUCUUAUCCUUAGACAAGAGAGGGGCCAUAACAAGAUGGAAUGACGGAACAGACGUGAGAGAUGAUGGUACAGUGACUCGGGUAACCCCAGAAAAGGGACAGCUCUUCUACAGCUCAGUGGGGACAGGGACAAAAAGAAACAAUUUCAUUUCAGUCCACCCAGAGGGUCUGCACUUCUCGGAGCCAGAAGGUGGAGAAGAGUAGGGAUGGAGGAAGUUCGAAGUUUUAGGAGUCUGCUCUUGGGUCCCUAGGCAUGAGGACAAGCUUUUCCUGUACUCAAUGCUCAUCUCUCAGUUGUGCCCACAUUGGUACACAUUACUUGCUUUCAACUGCUGCUGCUGCUGUUUCCUAAUUCAAUAAAGAUAUGGCUGGCUCAGCAGAGAGCUGUCAUCCA
rnacentral:lncRNA from 1 species